rnacentral:rRNA from 1 species
AUUGAACGCUGGCGGCAGGCCUAACACAUGCAAGUCGAGCGAGCGGCGGCCGGGUGAGUAAUGUCUGGGAAACUGCCUGAUGGAGGGGGAUAACUACUGGAAACGGUAGCUAAUACCGCAUACCAUCAGAUGUACCCAGAUGGGAUGAGCUAGUAGGUGGGGUAAGGGCUCACCUAGGCGACGAUCCCUAGCUGGUCUGAGAGGAUGACCAGCCAAACUGGAACUGAGACACGGUCCAGACUCCUACGGGAGGCAGCAGUGGGGAAUAUUGCACAAUGGGCGAAAGCCGGAUGCAGCCAUGCCGCGUGUGUGAAGAAGGCCUUCGGGUUGUAAAGUACUUUCAGCGAGGAGGCGUUACCCGCAGAAGAAGCACCGGCUAACUCCGUGCCAGCAGCCGCGGUAAUAC